AACGAACGCUGGCGGCAGGCUUAACACAUGCAAGUCGAACGGGUGUAGCAAUACAUCAGUGGCAGACGGGUGAGUAACACGUGGGAACCUUCCUAGGGGUACGGAACAACUCAGGGAAACUUGAGCUAAUACCGUAUACGUCCGUAAGGAGAAAGAUUCAUCGCCCCUAGACGGGCCCGCGUCGGAUUAGGUAGUUGGUGGGGUAACGGCCUACCAAGCCUACGAUCCGUAGCUGAUCUGAGAGGANGAUCAGCCACACUGGGACUGAGACACGGCCCAGACUCCUACGGGAGGCAGCAGUGGGGAAUCUUGGACAAUGGGCGCAAGCCUGACGCAGCGACGCCGCGUGGGGGAUGACGGCCUCGGUUG
rnacentral:rRNA from 1 species